rnacentral:rRNA from 1 species
AAUGCCUAGGAAUCUGCCUAGUAGUGGGGGAUAACGUCCGGAAACGGGCGCUAAUACCGCAUACGUCCUACGGGAGAAAGUGGGGGAUCUUCGGACCUCACGCUAUUAGAUGAGCCUAGGUCGGAUUAGCUAGUUGGUGAGGUAAUGGCUCACCAAGGCGACGAUCCGUAACUGGUCUGAGAGGAUGAUCAGUCACACUGGAACUGGGACACGGUCCAGACUCCUACGGGAGGCAGCAGUGGGGAAUAUUGGACAAUGGGCGAAAGCCUGAUCCAGCCAUGCCGCGUGUGUGAAGAAGGUCUUCGGAUUGUAAAGCACUUUAAGUUGGGAGGAAGGGCAGUUACCUAAUACGUGAUUGGUUUGACGUUACCGACAGAAUAAGCACCGGCUAACUCUGUGCCAGCAGCCGCGGUAAUACAGAGGGUGCAAGCGUUAAUCGGAAUUGCUGGGCGUAAAGCGCGCGUAGGUGGUUUGUUAAGUUGGAUGUGAAAGCCCCGGGCUCAACCUGGGAACUGCAUCCAAAACUGGCAAGCUAGAGUAUGGUAGAGGGUGGUGGAAUUUCCUGUGUAGCGGUGAAAUGCGUAGAUAUAGGAAGG